GACGAACGCUGGCGGCGUGCCUAAUACAUGCAAGUAGAACGCUGAAGGAGGAGCUUGCUUCUCUGGAUGAGUUGCGAACGGGUGAGUAACGCGUAGGUAACCUGCCUGGUAGCGGGGGAUAACUAUUGGAAACGAUAGCUAAUACCGCAUAAUAGUAGAUGUUGCAUGACAUUUGCUUAAAAGGUGCAAUUGCAUCACUACCAGAUGGACCUGCGUUGUAUUAGCUAGUUGGUGAGGUAACGGCUCACCAAGGCAACGAUACAUAGCCGACCUGAGAGGGUGAUCGGCCACACUGGGACUGAGACACGGCCCAGACUCCUACGGGAGGCAGCAGUAGGGAAUCUUCGGCAAUGGACGGAAGUCUGACCGAGCAACGCCGCGUGAGUGAAGAAGGUUUUCGGAUCGUAAAGCUCUGUUGUAAGAGAAGAACGAGUGUGAGAGUGGAAAGUUCACACUGUGACGGUAUCUGACCAGAAAGGGACGGCUAACUACGUG
rnacentral:rRNA from 1 species